rnacentral:rRNA from 1 species
CCGAGCGUAGGUUCUAGCGAGCCCAACCUCCCACCCGUGUUUACUGUACCUUAGUUGCUUCGGCGGGCCCGCCAUUCAUGGCCGCCGGGGGCUCUCAGCCCCGGGCCCGCGCCCGCCGGAGACACCACGAACUCUGUCUGAUCUAGUGAAGUCUGAGUUGAUUGUAUCGCAAUCAGUUAAAACUUUCAACAAUGGAUCUCUUGGUUCCGGCAUCGAUGAAGAACGCAGCGAAAUGCGAUAACUAGUGUGAAUUGCAGAAUUCCGUGAAUCAUCGAGUCUUUGAACGCACAUUGCGCCCCCUGGUAUUCCGGGGGGCAUGCCUGUCCGAGCGUCAUUGCUGCCCAUCAAGCACGGCUUGUGUGUUGGGUCGUCGUCCCCUCUCCGGGGGGGACGGGCCCCAAAGGCAGCGGCGGCACCGCGUCCGAUCCUCGAGCGUAUGGGGCUUUGUCACCCGCUCUGUAGGCCCGGCCGGCGCUUGCCGAACGCAAAUCAAUCUUUUCCAGGUUGACCUCGGAU